AGUGAACGCUGGCGGUAGGCCUAACACAUGCAAGUCGAACGGCAGCACAGUAAGAGCUUGCUCUUACGGGUGGCGAGUGGCGGACGGGUGAGGAAUACAUCGGAAUCUACUUUUUCGUGGGGGAUAACGUAGGGAAACUUACGCUAAUACCGCAUACGACCUACGGGUGAAAGCAGGGGAUCUUCGGACCUUGCGCGAUUGAAUGAGCCGAUGUCGGAUUAGCUAGUUGGCGGGGUAAAGGCCCACCAAGGCGACGAUCCGUAGCUGGUCUGAGAGGAUGAUCAGCCACACUGGAACUGAGACACGGUCCAGACUCCUACGGGAGGCAGCAGUGGGGAAUAUUGGACAAUGGGCGCAAGCCUGAUCUAGCCAUACCGCGUGGGUGAAGAAGGCCUUCGGGUUGUAAAGCCCUUUUGUUGGGAAAGAAAAGCGGCAGGUUAAUACCCCGCUGUUCUGACGGUACCCAAAGAAUAAGCACCGGCUAACUUCGUG
rnacentral:rRNA from 1 species